rnacentral:rRNA from 1 species
GAUGAACGCUGGCGGCGUGCCUAAUACAUGCAAGUCGAGCGAACAGACGAGGUGCUUGCUCCUCUGACGUUAGCGGCGGACGGGUGAGUAACACGUGGAUAACCUACCUAUAAGACUGGGAUAACUUCGGGAAACCGGAGCUACUACCGGAUAAUAUAUUGAACCGCAUGGUUCAAUAGUGAAAGACGGUUUUGCUGUCACUUAUAGAUGGAUCCGCGCCGCAUUAGCUAGUUGGUAAGGUAACGGCUUACCAAGGCAACGAUGCGUAGCCGACCUGAGAGGGUGAUCGGCCACACUGGAACUGAGACACGGUCCAGACUCCUACGGGAGGCAGCAGUAGGGAAUCUUCCGCAAUGGGCGAAAGCCUGACGGAGCAACGCCGCGUGAGUGAUGAAGGUCUUCGGAUCGUAAAACUCUGUUAUUAGGGAAGAACAAAUGUGUAAGUAACUAUGCACGUCUUGACGGUACCUAAUCAGAAAGCCACGGCUAACUACGUG